UAAGUGCUGAAAGCAUCUAAGCACGAAACUUGCCCCGAGAUGAGUUCUCCCUGAGACUUUAGGUCUCCUGAAGGAACGUUGAAGACGACGACGUUGAUAGGCCGGGUGUGUAAGCGCAGCGAUGCGUUGAGCUAACCGGUACUAAUGAACCGUGAGGCUUAACCUUACAACGCCGAAG
rnacentral:rRNA from 1 species